rnacentral:rRNA from 1 species
CCUACGGGUGGCAGCAGUGAGGAAUAUUGGUCAAUGGGCGAGAGCCUGAACCAGCCAAGUCGCGUGAAGGAUGACGGAUCUAUGGAUUGUAAACUUCUUUUAUAUGGGAAUAAAGUGAGGAACGUGUUCCUUUUUGUAUGUACCAUAUGAAUAAGCAUCGGCUAACUCCGUGCCAGCAGCCGCGGUAAUACGGAGGAUGCGAGCGUUAUCCGGAUUUAUUGGGUUUAAAGGGUGCGUAGGUGGUUAAGUAAUUCUGCGGGGAAAGUUUGGGGCGCAACCAUGUAAUUGCCGUUGAAACUGGUUGACUUGAGUGUAUGUGAGGUAGGCGGAAUGCGUGGUGUAGCGGUGAAAUGCAUAGAUAUCACGCAGAACUCCGAUUGCGAAGGCAGCUUACUGAACUGUAACUGACGCUGAGGCACGAAAGCGUGGGGAUCAAACAGGAUUAGAUACCCGAGUAGUC